GCGGACUGAAUCCUUUGCAGACGACUUAAAUACGCGACGGGGUAUGUAAGUGGCAGAGUGGCCUUGCUGCCACGAUCCACUGAGAUUCAGCCUUCGUCGCUCCGAUUCGU
rnacentral:ncRNA from 1 species